rnacentral:rRNA from 1 species
UGGCGAACGGGUGAGUAACACGUGAGUAACCUGCCCCAGACUCUGGGAUAACUUCGGGAAACCGUAGCUAAUACCGGAUAUGACACGGAGAGGCCUCUCUACCGUGUGGAAAGUUUUUCGGUCUGGGAUGGACUCGCGGCCUAUCAGCUUGUUGGUGAGGUAAUGGCUCACCAAGGCGACGACGGGUAGCCGGCCUGAGAGGGCGAUCGGCCACACUGGGACUGAGACACGGCCCAG